rnacentral:rRNA from 1 species
UGGGGGAUAUUGCACAAUGGGCGAAAGCCUGAUGCAGCGACGCCGCGUGGGGGAUGAAGGCCUUCGGGUUGUAAACUUCUUUUGCUCUGAACAAGGCGCACCAUGGGGUAUGUUGAGUGUAGGGGUUGAUUAGCGCCGGCUAACUACGUGCCAGCAGCCGCGGUAAUACGUAGGGCGCGAGCGUUGUCCGGAAUUAUUGGGCGUAAAGGGCUUGUAGGUGGCUGGUUGCGUCUGUCGUGAAAGCUCAUGGCUUAACUGUGGGUUUGCGGUGGGUACGGGCUGGCUUGAGUGCAGUAGGGGAGGCUGGAAUUCCUGGUGUAGCGGUGGAAUGCGCAGAUAUCAGGAGGAAUACCGGUGGCGAAGGCGGGUCUCUGGGCUGUUACUGACACUGAGGAGCGAAAGCAUGGGGAGCGAACAGG